rnacentral:rRNA from 1 species
CGGCAUGCCUUACACAUGCAAGUCGAACGGCAGCACGGGAGCAAUCCUGGUGGCGAGUGGCGAACGGGUGAGUAAUAUAUCGGAACGUGCCCAGUCGUGGGGGAUAACGUAGCGAAAGCUACGCUAAUACCGCAUACGAUCUAUGGAUGAAAGCGGGGGAUCGCAAGACCUCGCGCGAUUGGAGCGGCCGAUAUCAGAUUAGGUAGUUGGUGAGGUAAAGGCUCACCAAGCCAACGAUCUGUAGCUGGUCUGAGAGGACGACCAGCCACACUGGAACUGAGACACGGUCCAGACUCCUACGGGAGGCAGCAGUGGGGAAUUUUGGACAAUGGACGCAAGUCUGAUCCAGCCAUUCCGCGUGCAGGAUGAAGGCCCUCGGGUUGUAAACUGCUUUGUACGGAACGAAAAGGUUUCUAUUAAUACUAGGAGCUCAUGACGGUACCGUAAGAAUAAGCACCGGCUAACUACGUG